AGUUAACGCUGGCGGUAGGCCUAACACAUGCAAGUCGAACGUCAGCACAGUAAGAGCUUGCUCUUACGGGUGGCGAGUGGCGGACGGGUGAGGAAUACAUCGGAAUCUACUUUUUCGUGGGGGAUAACGUAGGGAAACUUACGCUAAUACCGCAUACGACCUACGGGUGAAAGCAGGGGAUCUUCGGACCUUGCUCGAUUGAAUGAGCCGAUGUCGGAUUAGCUAGUUGGCGGGGUAAAGGCCCACCAAGGCGACGAUCCGUAGCUGGUCUGAGAGGAUGAUAAGCCACACUGGCACUGAGACACGGUCCAGACUCCUACGGGAGGCAGCAGUGGGGAAUAGUGGACAAUGGGCGCAAGCCUGAUCCAGCCAUACCGCGUGGGUGAAGAAGGCCUUCGGGUUGUAAAGCCCUUUUGUAGGGAAAGAAAAGCAGCAGGUUAAUACCCCGCUGUUCUGACGGUACCCAAAGAAUAAGCACCGGCUAACUUCGUG
rnacentral:rRNA from 1 species